rnacentral:rRNA from 1 species
GGGGGGCCUAAAUGCAAGUCGAACGAUGAAGCUUCUAGCUUGCUAGAAGUGGAUUAGUGGCGCACGGGUGAGUAAUGCACAUGUUAUGUGCCCUUCAGUCUGGGAUAGCCACUGGAAACGGUGAUUAAUACUGGAUACUCCCUACGGGGGAAAGGGGCUUUCAAUAAAGAAUUUCUCUUUUUAGUGUUUUGUGUUGUUGGCACAAAAUUCUAGUAUUUGGAAUGAGAAAUUGAUGUUGUGAAGCAAUUUGUGCGGAGACUAGACUUAGUGUCUGUCGCACAAGCAAAUUGCGAACUCAUCGAUUUAUCGUCCAAAGACGAAUUUUUUAUUGAAAGCCUUCGCUAAAGGAUCAGCCUAUGUCCUAUCAGCUUGUUGGUGAGGUAAUGGCUCACCAAGGCUAUGACGGGUAUCCGGCCUGAGAGGGUGAUCGGACACACUGGAACUGAGACACGGUCCAGACUCCUACGGGAGGCAGCAGUAGGGAAUAUUGCUCAAUGGGGGAAACCCUGAAGCAGCAACGCCGCGUGGAGGAUGAAGGUUUUAGGAUUGUAAACUCCUUUUGUAAGAGAAGAUUAUGACGGUAUCUUACGAAUAAGCACCGGCUAACUCCGUGCCAGCAGCCGCGGUAAUACGGAGGGUGCAAGCGUUACUCGGAAUCACUGGGCGUAAAGAGCGCGUAGGCGGGUGGUCAAGUCAGAUGUGAAAUCCUGUAGCUUAACUACAGAACUGCAUUUGAAACUGAUCAUCUAG